UACGUAGGGUGCGAGCGUUGUCCGGAUUUAUUGGGCGUAAAGAGCUCGUAGGCGGCUUGUCGCGUCGAAUGUGAAAUCUCAGGGCUCAACUCUGACAUUGCAUUCGAUACGGGCAGGCUCGAGUUCGGUAGGGGAGACUGGAAUUCCUGGUGUAGCGGUGAAAUGCGCAGAUAUCAGGAGGAACACCGGUGGCGAAGGCGGGUCUCUGGGCCGAUACUGACGCUGAGAAGCGAAAGCAUGGGGAGCGAACAGG
rnacentral:rRNA from 1 species